rnacentral:rRNA from 1 species
UACGAAGGGGGCUAGCGUUGUUCGGAAUUACUGGGCGUAAAGCGCGCGCAGGCGGUCUUCCAAGUCAGUGGUGAAAGCCCGGAGCUCAACUCCGGAACUGCCAUUGAAACUGUUGGACUUGAGUACGAGAGAGGUGAGUGGAAUUCCCAGUGUAGAGGUGGAAUUCGUAGAUAUUAGGAAGAACACCAGUGGCGAAGGCGGCUCACUGGUCCGGUACUGACGCUGAGGUGCGAAAGCGUGGGGAGCAAACAGG